rnacentral:pre_miRNA from 1 species
UCUAGAACUCGAGAUAUGGGCUGAACAUUGAAUAGUGUCUGGGAUGCAGGACAGAUUCGGACUUCUUCAUUGUGGCUACAAUUUGGACUUGAAAAAUGCCUUGUUAAAUCUUGGACUCCCCAUGAAAGUUGUAGGCCUAUGUCUUAGCUUUCCAUC